UACGUAGGGGGCAAGCGUUGUCCGGAAUUAUUGGGCGUAAAGAGCUCGUAGGCGGUCUGUUACGUCGGCUGUGAAAACCCGGGGCUCAACUCCGGGCCUGCAUUCGAUACGGGCAGACUUGAGUUCGGUAGGGGAGACUGGAAUUCCUGGUGUAGCGGUGAAAUGCGCAGAUAUCAGGAGGAACACCGGUGGCGAAGGCGGGUCUCUGGGCCUUAACUGACGCUGAGGAGCGAAAGCGUGGGGAGCGAACAGG
rnacentral:rRNA from 1 species